AUAUAUAUAUACAUAUACAUAAUUCUAUAUAAAUCUCCAUUAAAGUCUGUAAAAAUGCCAUAUUCACUAUUGACUGUCAUAAGGAAAACUGAAAUAUGAAGACACCGGGUGAAGCAUGGGAAGAGCUCUGUUCACAGGAAAUGAUGUCGUAACGUCGAGGAGUCAGACCUUUCAGAAGAGAGAACAUCGCCCUUCUCCAAAAAUGUAUUCAGUGUAUUUCUGUAAAUUUCCCUGAAGUACCCAUUUGGUUUACUUACCAUUUUAAUAUUAUUUAUUUAUCUAUUAAGCAACGAACUAGAAAGAAUCUGUAAAAUCAACUGUAAAUGUCUAAAUAUAAAAUGCUUCUUGGGGGAUAUUUUUAUGGAAUUAUUGUGAAUAUCACUACAAUAAUGCUUUACAUUAAAGUACCAUCUAGAGGGUUUAUAGUAAGUUGGCAUGAUCCAGAGAAUGAAUUGACAGAUCGAUGUGGUAAAUGAAUGAAUUAUGAAAUAACUAUUUAUAAACCAACUGUGAGUGAUUUAAUGAUGGUAUUUUCUUGUGAUACAUUAUACAGAUGUUUUAAACUUUCUAUGAAACUCCGUGCAGAAAAUAUCUGGUCUGGACUGAGUUGUGAAAGAAAGUAGGCAAAUACAAGGUUUAAAGUUAUCCAUGUUUUGUUGGGUAGACAGCCAUAUAGACCUCAACAGCUAGAGCAUUUGUUGUGACUGAAAAUUACAUCACAGUCUCUUCGUUGUUGACUCUGGGAUUUGAUUUUGUUCAUUAGACCAGCUUUCUCAUUCCUGCAUACUGCAUAGAAUAAACCGCUUUAACAUAGACGCUUUAGCUGUACUUUAGUAAAUAUUUUGGUCCAAAGUUCAUUUGUUAAACAAAAAGCACUUACUGUACUGUUGGAAACGGCUCUUUUCAUACCUGGAAAUUUGGACCGGUUUCCCAACUCUAAUCUUUGGGUGGAACGCUUUCACUGACUUGGAAACAAUAUUCAUUGUAGUUCUGAAUCUCAGUAUAACAUGUUUCUAUCUGGUUCCACACUAGUGCUUCAUGUGUAAUGCAAUGGCACAGAGCAUACUUCAAGAUCUUCAUCUGUGAAAACACCUACAAUGAGUGUUACAAAACCAUAUAACUAGAAUUCAGAAACAUUAAAUACACACACACACACACAUAAAAAUGUCUUUCUUGUCCCAUUUCUCCCUUGAAACCACAUUUUAGUGCCAUUACAUUUAUUUGCAAGAAGGUUUGCAAGAAAUGCUGCUAUAUAUGUUGCAUUGAUCACAUGAUCCAUUGUCGUUCCAGGUACUGAUUCUCACUUGCCUCUCUGCCCAAAGUUUUUUUCCAUUCUGUAAAAGAAGUAGUUUGACAAUCUGUGAGCAUAAAUUGCAAGUGGACCUGUUCAUACUGACCCUAAGACAGUUGCCAUAUCUUUUCAAACGCCAAAGAUUUUCUUUCAUUGAGUUCUGUAUUCCAUUGACUGUUCGACAGCUGUUUGUGUCUGAAGUACCACUGCAUAUUCCACCAGUAACAGUGUUGAGGACUUUUCUAAUGUUUUUGGCUGUGCUAGUCUGCCUUUCAUGCGUUUCGUCUGCCGUACUUCAAACAAGAAAAAAAUGGGGGAAAAAAGAAUUACAAAACAAAACGAAGCCAAUCUCUCUCAGACUCUAAAUGUUUCUCUGUGUUGGACUCUAUAUUCUCUGUAGAUGUGUUUUCAUGCCAUGGUGUUCUAGUGUUUCUGAAGAACGGGUUUGUUUUCAAUAUCUCGCUCGUUUGUCAUCUCUCCUGAUUAACUUAAUUAAAUUAUAUUUGUACAAUGUGUAUUUUUCUCUGCAGUACUGUAUUUCCCUGAAAAGAUAUCCUAGUCAAAUUUUUAAUCAUCGAUUAUUAAAAAUUUAUUUUUAUAUAUGCUUUGAGGAGGACUUACUUUGAGCUCAUGUUGCUUGUCUUCAUAUCUUUGUUUUCUGUCACGUGGUCUGUUUGUUAAUGACACAACAGGGUGAUUUUCGUUUCCUUAAAAUUCUUGCAUACAAGUGUGGUUCAUUAAAAGUAAUGCCAUACAUUUGAUGAUGUGUGAUCGAAAAUACAUUUUUGGCCCCGACAUGGUUGAUACAAUUUAAAACCAAAAUUUAUUUUCCAAGAUGCUGGCUCAUGUACUCACGAAAUGAUUCCAGGAAAUACAUGAUGUUUUAGGUUGCUAUUUUAUCAUUAUUGUCAAUCGAUAAAAUAUCCAAUCAGUAAUGCUGUAAAUGUCAGUAGGCUAAUAAGUGUUCAAACUCCAGCAUAAUUUGUUGAUCACCUUCACCUUUAGUUCAUUCAUGAAUGUUUCAGAGAGGUUUCAGACUCGCUCUUGAUGUGAAUCAGGUUGUUUGCUCUUUGUACUCUUUCAUGGCUAAGGAGGAAAAAAAGGUUCUUGUUGCUUUGUUAGUUUUAAUUUUAUUAAUUAAUUUUGUAAUGUUUCAUGUUGACUUUAAGUGAACUGUUUUAUUUGUCUCAGACGGAACAUUCUUACCUGAAAUAGUAAGACUUUUAACAUGCAGAAGAGCCUCAUUCAUUUCCUGUCCUGAAUAUAAUGGUUAUCAGUGGGUUGCAGUAUUUUCUCAUUGUAGCCAAUUUCUUGUACAGUUUUAUGCAAAUUUCACAUGGAUGUUUAUGACUAUCUGCUGCCACAAACAGUUUAGAAUUUCUGUAGAUAGAUUACUGUGCAAUGGAAAAUAAAACUAUUUAAAAUGC